GUAUUCUUUAAAAAAAAAAUGUUAACAUUGUAAAAUACGAGAAAAGGCUGUGGAAGUAUUUCAGAUUAAAAGACUAAAAAGAACCAAAUCUAAUACCUGACCUAGGCUUGCUCCUCUAUAGGAGGGGAUGCUGCUAGAGAGCAUGUCAGGUCGCCUGACACAAAAUAAGGAUGGCAAAGCACGUAUCACUCUGUCCAUGUAUAUAUAUAUAUAUAUAUAUAUAUGAGUUAUGUGUAUUUGUACAUACUUUACGUAUCUACAGAUAUAGCAUGUAUAUGUCACAUCUACACACCUACAAAUCAUGUAUGUACAUACACAGGCAUCAUUUUGUUUAGAUAGGGACAGGUCACAAACGCUAAAGCAAAUAAGGUAAAAUGGUAACAGGGAAUCUAAAUAAAAAGGUAUAUAGGUGUUCUUUGUACUGUUUUAUUUUUGCAACUUUGUGAAUUUAAAAUAUUCUCCAUAAAAGUUUUAAAUUUUAAAAUGGAAUGUAGCAAGCCUCUUUAAAAAUCUCCUAAACUCAUGGGGGCGCCUGGGUGGCUCAGUUGGUUAAAAAUCUCCUAAACUCAGUUUUCCUUCUAUCUUCAGAUAAUCUAAAAAACCAACCAACCAACCUUGAUACUUACGGACCCUUACACUGCCAUCUUUUCUGCCUGACCUCUCCAGAGAGAGCAAAAAACUACCUGGCAUUAUAACUUUUCUUCCUCUGGUUACUGUCCCUCUAUUUCCUCUUUCUUGGAAACUUUCCCUCAGACACUCAAGCACUUUUGCUCUGGGAAGAGUGAGCCAUUACUUCUCUUUAUAAAAGCAAGGACUUUGCAACAACUCAGAACAAGUUAUGUCCUGGUCCUUCUACAUCUUGGCAAUGGAGAAGUUGCAAGAAAAAUCACCUGGAGUGAAUGAAGAUAGAGAUUUGGGACCCACUGAAUUUCAGAGAGAACUAUAAACACAGGGCGUCACAGAAGCCAAGAGAAUAAAAAGGUGGGAAUGCCCAGGAAUGUGGUGUGAGGGGGGCUCACGGAAAUGAAAACUGAACUCUAAUCAGGAAAGCUGAUUACUGAAGCCUUUCCAAAGGUGUCAGAGCAGAAAUCAGACUACAAGUGGGUAAGGCGGAAAAUGGGAGAAAGGCAGUAAGGAGGAAGAGCGGCAGUAAUCAAACUCUGAAGCACACGGGAUGAUCACCCCUGCUGCGGGACGGCCCAGAAAGGCUAGGUGAACCCACCACCCACAGCGAAGGGAGGGGCCUGCCUAACCUACUGAGCCCUCCGCUCGGGGCGUCUGAAGGGUAAGACUUCCAAGUGUACAGUCUCCAAACUGGGGCUCUGGUGCUCCCAGGGAUAUAAGGACUUCACAAGGGGACAUGGAUGAAUACUUCAUAAAGGAAUUUCCCGAAGUUCCACUUGUCUUUCCUAAAACUCCUCUUCCUGAAAUGUACUUGUGGUUAAGGAGUCAGUCAGGCUCCCCUUUCUCACAUCCCUCCUUCGCUUGCCUUUUGUCCCCUUUACAAGGAUGCCUUUUACCCAGCUUUCUCUGGUGCAUUUCCCCACAGUAUGGAAAAAUAUAUAUCCUCGGGCAGCAAAGAGGGGGUCUAAAAUCCUGGGGUCCUCGAUCAAGGCAUCAUAAAGCAGACACGGGGCUUUGGGGCUUCCCUGUCUUAUGCAAGCUGCUGGUAAGGUCAUGACAUCAGAUAUAAUGGCAUUAUGUUUGUUGGAACCGAUGCUCAUGGCAUUAGAAAUAGGGUGUUUGGGCCUUGGCAGGAAUGACAGUUUUCACCGAGAAAUCGUGCCUCUUUCGUCCCCCAACCGGUGUAAAUGAAGGCGUUUUCCCUAAGGCAGAGUCUUGUUACAAAAAGCAAAGAAAGCCUCAGAAGGCAACACUAAAGCCCAUGGGGUCUUCUCUCGCCCUGGUGGCACUCUCAAGGCUGGCUCCCUCGCCUAAUCCAGCCCCCCGGCAUCCAUUUUAGAAGGAUUAUAAAGCAGAUGGUUGUCAUUAUAUCCCGUUCAUUUCAAUUCAGAAACCAAGUCAAAUGAUUUCGGACAGAAAGCAAGCCUGGCUUGGAUGAUUUACUGUGGGCCUACUAGAACUGCUAUGGCAGUUAGGUCAGGUGGUAGACAGUUCCCAUAAACCGAACAAGCCAAAUCUGCAGCUCCAAGGCACUGGCAAAAAUGUAUUCAAAAUAUGUGAUGUGAUACAGUUUUUAAACAAAAUCCCUUAUUGGCAAAAGUACACUGAAACGAACAGUAUUUCUCAAUCAUUUUUAAAUACAGCCAGUUAAACAAGGUACUUCUAAGUAAAAGACUAACAUGCACAAGAACAGCCAUUUGAUAAAUUUCAGAGAAACUCUUUUUGGUAUACUUGAUGGUUUCUAAUCCUCUGCUUUCAACAAAACUGACAGCAGUAUUUCAAAUCUUAUUUAGCAGUAUUGUCAGCUGGUAAAGCAUUAAAAAAUAUUUCUGAUAACAGACUAGUAUAUAAUUUUUAGCCUAAAACUCAGGAGUCCAAUGAACGGAGUAUGAUUAUAACAAAAUUCCUUACUAUCUACUUAUUUAUGUGAAUAAAAUUUCUCCGCCUUGACCUCUCUAUUAAAAAAAAAAUAAAGAUUAGAGUUGAGGCUAAACCUUACUUCCUUCGCUCAAUAAAACUAUUGGUCACGGACAUAUAAACUAAUUUUAAAAGAAUAGUUCUGGGGUGCCUGGGUGGCUCAGUUGGUUAAGCGGCUGCCUUCGGCUCAGGUCAUGAUCCCAGGGUCCUGGGAUCGAGCCCCGCAUCGGGCUCCCUGCUCGGCGGGGAGCCUGCUUCUCCCUCUCCCUCUGCCUGCCUCUCUGCCUACUUGUUCUCUCUUUCCAUCUCUCUGUCAAAUAAAUAAAUAAAAUCUUUAAAAAAAAAAAAAAAAAAAGAAUAGUUCUGGGGCGGCCUGGGUGGCUCAGUCGG